CUAGAGUGUGGGAGAGGAAGAUGGAAUUAGUUGUGUAGGGGUAAAAUCCGUAGAGAUAACUAGGAAUACCAAAAGCGAAGGCAAUCUUCUGGAACAUUACUGACGCUGAGGCGCGAAAGCGUGGGGAGCAAACAGGAUUAGAUACCCUGGAUAGUCCACGCCCGUAAACGAUGAAUGUUAGUCGUCGGGUAGCUAGUCUAUUCGGUGAUGCAGCUAACGCAUUAAACAUUCCGCCUGGGGAGUACGGUCGCAAGAUUAAAACUCAAAGGAAUAGACGGGGACCCGCACAAGUGGUGGAGCAUGUGGUUUAAUUCGAAGAUACGCGAAGAACCUUACCUAGCCUUGACAUAUAUUAGAACUCAGCAGAGAUGCAGAGGUGCCUUCGGGAGCUUUUAUACAGGUGCUGCACGGCUGUCGUCAGCUCGUGUCGUGAGAUGUUGGGUUAAGUCCCGCAACGAGCGCAACCCUCGUCACUAGUUACUAACGGUUCGGCCGAGGACUCUAGUGAGACUGCCUUCGUAAGGAGGAGGAAGGUGAGGACGACGUCAAGUCAUCAUGGCCCUUACGGCUAGGGCAACACACGUGCUACAAUGGCCAGGACAGUGAGACGCAAUACCGCGAGGUGGAGCAAAUCUAUAAACCUGGUCUCAGUUCGGAUUGUAGUCUGCAACUCGACUACAUGAAGCUGGAAUCACUAGUAAUCGUAGAUCAGCUAUGCUACGGUGAAUACGUUCCCGGGUCUUGUACUCACCGCCCGUCACACCAUGGGAGUUGAUUUCACCCGAAGCGGGGAAGCUAAACUGGCUACCCUCCA
rnacentral:rRNA from 1 species